GACGAACGCUGGCGGCGUGCUUAACACAUGCAAGUCGAGCGGUAAGGCCCUUUCGGGGGUACACGAGCGGCGAACGGGUGAGUAACACGUGGGUGACCUGCCCUCAGCUCUGGGAUAAGCCUGGGAAACCGGGUCUAAUACUGGAUAUGACUCCAUGACGCACGUUGUGGGGUGGAAAGCCUUGUGCGGCUGAGGAUGGGCCCGCGGCCUAUCAGCUUGUUGGUGGGGUGAUGGCCUACCAAGGCGACGACGGGUAGCCGGCCUGAGAGGGCGACCGGCCACACUGGGACUGAGACACGGCCCAGACUCCUACGGGAGGCAGCAGUGGGGAAUCUUGCGCAAUGGGCGAAAGCCUGACGCAGCGACGCCGCGUGCGGGAAGAAGGCCUU
rnacentral:rRNA from 1 species